AUGAAUUUAAUUUUAUUAAAUUGAAGUAGGCAGAUAAUUUAAUUUGUUUGGCCAUGUGGAAAGUCUGACCUGCUAGAGCCUAGAGGGCAAAAUUUAGCAGAGAACCUUCUAAUACAAUGGUCGACACACUUCACCGCAUAGAGAUGGCUUAAUAUCGUCCUAAAAAAGAGCAGCUUAAAAUGCAGAUGACACAAAUCUCUCAUAACCAUCGACAGCAUUGAAGGGAAAGAAUGUGUUGUUGGAAGGAAUGUAUGCGUAAAUUACAAGUUGCAUUGUCUAUCAAAAACUUUAAAUAAUGUUCAAUUCACACGCAUGAAGUUGCCAUUCUUCAUUGAUAUCCCCAAAACACUAUGAUCCAUGACAAUAAAAAGGAAACUAAUACUUUCGCUGGAUGUUUCCAUCUGGAAGCAAUGCUGCCUCCAGCAAAAUAGCAUUCAGCUGUAGGGGCUGUAACGCAUAGGCAUUCUGAAUCUUGGAACCUUCCUGCAGUAUUAUGGAAAUUUGCUAAAAGCACAUCAAUCAAAGAGAGACGAAAUGAGAGUAUCUUAGCACAUUCACAAAAAAAUUUUUAAGGCACUAUAUAUAUAGAUAAGCAUACCCAUAUCCAUAAGGAGAGUAGAAAUAAGGAGGCAUAUGUGAGGCCCUGGGUGGAAGCCCCAUGUAAGGGUUGGGUCGACGAGGACGGAACUGCUUCAUCCCUGGUAUAUUGGUCCUUUUAGCAGUCACCUAGCAAAACACAAAAAAAUGACACAUUUGUUUUUUAAGAAAUCGUCUGAGGUUGAAAGCAGAGAAAUGCAAUAAAAAGAAUGAAAACCUGGCCAUUGAGGUUGGGGUAAAUUACUAAAAAAUGUCUGGGAUUUGCCAUAAUACACACUUUCCAUCCUCUAGUUUCAAGAUUUGUUGCUCGGUUUAUAAGACUAAUUACCUAAAAAAUGAAUUGCUUUACCUUCAAUUGGCGGCCACGCAAUUCAGUUUCAUUCAGAAGGAGAGCCUCUUGAACAGCCUCUGUCUCAAAGAAUUCCACAUAUGCGUAACCCUUUGGCUGCCCAUACUUGUCAGUACGAAUAGUGAUCCUAUUUAUCGUCCCACAUGAUUGGAAGUGCUGCUGCACUUCUUCAGGGGUGCAUGAAUAGUCCACCAUAAGGAGUAAAAUGCCUACUCAUUCCUCGAGCAUUAACCUCCAUGACAAGUAGCUCUGUGGGCUUGUACUUUGUACAUAGCUAGUCUUCACCCUUCCUGCAUGCUACUCAUACCUGAUUGAGUCUAGGCUCAGGAAUCUUGAAUCAUAUCUUUUCCUCCGUCCAUCCUGGCCCAAGAACUCGCUCAAGUUAACUCAACCAACACUCUUUAAUCCUAACCUAUAUCUCUGCUGAUUCUCCCCAUCUUUUUUGUUAUGAUCACUCAGAAAGAUUUUAGCAUUUAUCACCUCUCCC
rnacentral:misc_RNA from 1 species